UACGUAGGGGGCAAGCGUUGUCCGGAAUCAUUGGGCGUAAAGAGCGUGUAGGCGGCCCGAUAAGUCCGCUGUGAAAGUCCAGGGUUCAACCCUGGAAUGCCGGUGGAUACUGUCGGGCUCGAAUCCGGAAGAGGUGAGUGGAAUUCCUGGUGUAGCGGUGAAAUGCGCAGAUAUCAGGAGGAACACCAAUGGCGAAGGCAGCUCACUGGGACGGUAUUGACGCUGAGACGCGAAAGCGUGGGGAGCAAACAGG
rnacentral:rRNA from 1 species